CGGAGGGGCUAGCGUUAUUCGGAAUUACUGGGGCGUAAAGCGCACGUAGGCGGAUCAGAAAGUCAGAGGUGAAAUCCCAGGGCUCAACCUUGGAACUGCCUUUGAAACUCCUGGUCUUGAGGUCGAGAGAGGUGGGUGGAAUUCCGAGUGUAGAGGUGAAAUUCGUAGAUAUUCGGAGGAACACCAGUGGCGAAGGCGGCUCACUGGCUCGAUACUGACGCUGAGGUGCGAAAGCGUGGGGAGCAAACAGGAUU
rnacentral:rRNA from 1 species